rnacentral:rRNA from 1 species
GUGGGGAAUAUUGGACAAUGGGCGAAAGCCUGAUCCAGCCAUGCCGCGUGUGUGAAGAAGGUCUUCGGAUUGUAAAGCACUUUAAGUUGGGAGGAAGGGCAGUAAGUUAAUACCUUGCUGUUUUGACGUUACCGACAGAAUAAGCACCGGCUAACUUCGUGCCAGCAGCCGCGGUAAUACGAAGGGUGCAAGCGUUAAUCGGAAUUACUGGGCGUAAAGCGCGCGUAGGUGGUUUUGUAAGUUGGAAGUGAAAUCCCCGGGCUCAACCUGGGAACUGCUUUCAAAACUGCUGAGCUAGAGUACGGUAGAGGGUGGUGGAAUUUCCUGUGUAGCGGUGAAAUGCGUAGAUAUAGGAAGGAACACCAGUGGCGAAGGCGACCACCUGGACUGAUACUGACACUGAGGUGCGAAAGCGUGGGGAGCAAACAGGAUUAGAAACCCGGGUAGUCC